AUGCCUAGCGUAGCUGCUCCUACUGUCUCAACUUUGGUUCCACAAAAUCACAACAGCAAUAACCGAAGUGCUAGUUCUAAUUCUAGUACACCACAUCUACUGACUGUCAAUACUGGGAUUCCGUGCGGGCCGGUACCCGAUUCAUAUUUUAAUGGGUCUUCGUUGCAAGCAUCACAAGCUCAAAUUUCUUUGCCGGAGUUUCCAUCACGUGCUAGCGUUCCAUCUGCUCCACAAACUAGUUCUCUACAGUCGAAUGAUAGUUUUAAGGAUAAGCUUGCUAGUAUACUAAGAGAAUUCGGUUUAGAACCUAAGAGUUAA
rnacentral:rRNA from 1 species